rnacentral:rRNA from 1 species
AUUGAACGCUGGCGGCAGGCCUAACAUGCAAGUCGAGCGGAUGACGGGAGCUUGCUCCUUGAUUCAGCGGCGGACGGGUGAGUAAUGCCUAGGAAUCUGCCUGGUAGUGGGGGACAACGUUUCGAAAGGAACGCUAAUACCGCAUACGUCCUACGGGAGAAAGCAGGGGACCUUCGGGCCUUGCGCUAUCAGAUGAGCCUAGGUCGGAUUAGCUAGUAGGUGAGGUAAUGGCUCACCUAGGCGACGAUCCGUAACUGGUCUGAGAGGAUGACCAGUCACACUGGAACUGAGACACGGUCCAGACUCCUACGGGAGGCAGCAGUGGGGAAUAUUGGACAAUGGGCGAAAGCCUGAUCCAGCCAUGCCGCGUGUGUGAAGAAGGUCUUCGGAUUGUAAGGCACUUUAAGUUGGGAGGAAGGGUUGUACGUUAAUACCGUGCAAUUUUGACGUUACCGACAGAAUAAGCACCGGCUAACUCUGUGCCAGCAGCCGCGGUAAGAC